rnacentral:rRNA from 1 species
CCUACGGGUGGCAGCAGUGAGGAAUAUUGGUCAAUGGACGCAAGUCUGAACCGGCCAUGCCGCGUGCAGGAAGACGGCUCUAUGAGUUGUAAACUGCUUUUGUACGAGGGUAAACGCAGAUACGCGUAUCUGUCUGAAAGUAUCGUACGAAUAAGGAUCGGCUAACUCCGUGCCAGCCGCCGCGGUAAUACGGAGGAUUCAAGCGUUAUCCGGAUUUAUUGGGUUUAAAGGGUGCGUAGGCGGUCGGAUAAGUUAGAGGUGAAAUCCCGAGGCUCAACUUCGGAAUUGCCUCUGAUACUGUUCGGCUAGAGAGUAGUUGCGGUAGGCGGAAUGUAUGGUGUAGCGGUGAAAUGCUUAGAGAUCAUACAGAACACCGAUUGCGAAGGCAGCUUACUAAGCUACCUCUGACGUUGAGGCUCGAAAGCGUGGGGAGCAAACAGGAUUAGAUACCCGAGUAGUC